UUUCUCCCAUUCGCGGUCAUGCUAAAAUCCCCAAAAUCCUCAAAUCAAAAUCCCUAAACUCACCAAACCAAAAUCCCCAAAAUCCCAAUCCCAGAAUCCCCAAAAUCCUAAAAUGAAAAUCAUUCAGUGCCGGAGUGAAGGAGGGUAAACGACGGCAUUCGCAGAUUGACGAAGGUGAACGACGGCCUUCGCCGAAGUGACGAGGCAACGACUGUGAACGACGAGUGACGAGGCUAGAACGAGGGUGAACGACUGCGAACUACGAGUGAUGAGGCAAGACUGUGAACGACUGUGAACAUUUUAAGGGUCCUGGGGAAGUUGUCUGUGAUGCAUCCAUUGCUCUGUAUCAGCUCUCUGUAGCCUCCACUCCUCUUACCGAGCUAUUGCCAAUUGUAUAUACAUCUACCAGUUCAAAAAAGUACUACUUUUUUUAGGAAUACUCCAGGAAAGAGUCCUCUAGAGGAUCCGAAUAAUGCCUACUUAAACUAGUUGUCACUCCCUCCUCAACCGUCCAAGACUCUAGAACCUUGAAUUCGCUGUACCAGAUCCAUCUGGCCUAGGGCUACAAUCUUCAAUCGAGUCUGACCACUACACCUGCAACAUUCAGAUUGAAGGACAUCCUGCUGCAACAGAAGCGCAUCCUUUACACGCACCUUCGUCCAGUUGCUCCUCAUUUUCAUCCUCUAACCUUGAUACAGAGGAUGAGUUUAAUGGCUAACUCUCUAUACUACCUGAGGAUUGUCGGACUUUGGACGCUAGGAAUGCCAUUAUACAUGAGUUGAUUGGUCAUGACAAUCAUGGAUAUUGUCGCACAUACGGGAGAACUGUGCCUUGGAGAGCAGUGUAUAAAGAUGGUGCAAGGCCAUCACAGUCAGCACCCCAGCCAUCGACUAUUGUUUAGAUCACCCAGCAGGUUCGUGCGGAGCUAAGGGAUGAGUUGAGGAAGGAGUUGCGAGCAGAGUUCUCUACACAUUCACAGCAGCUGAGAGCUGAGAUGAUGGCUUUUGUGUCACAGGGGGCAAGUAUGGAUCCCAACAAACAGGCUCCUGAUGCAUCGAGUGGCCACCGGGCAUUUAGGGAAUCUACAGAAUACGAGAAUCCAUAUACACCACCACCAGAAGAUCAGGUAUAAAGUGUAACUUUACAUUCUAAGCUAUUUACGUUCUUUACAUUCUAAGCUAAGAGACUUGUGGGAGAAGACGGGACUCAAAUUGGGUUCCCGGAUUAGGAGUUAGAGAUGGAUUUCACUCUAGGCAAACUAGUUCUUUAAAAAGCUUGAAUUCGAGGUGUUAACGCCCCAAAAUCACCAAAAGGGGUUGGAUUGGCACGAAACUUGGCACACACGACCGCCUAGGCACGAGAGA